GCGCACCAGGCGAGAAACCUCCGCAAUACACGAAAGUGUGACGGGGCCAUCCCGAGUGCCGUCCGCUGAGGACGGCUUUUCCCCAGUGUACACAGCUGGGGGAAUAAGGAGAGGGCAAGCCUGGUGUCAGCCGCCGCGGUAAUACCAGCUCUCCGAGUGGUGGGGACGCUUAUUGGGCCUAAAGCAUCCGUAGCCGGCUGGGCAAGUCCUCCGUUAAAUCCAACGAUUCAAUCGUUGGGCUGCGGGGGAUACUGUCCAGCUUGGGGGCGGGAGAGGCCGACGGUAUUCCCGGGGUAGGGGUGAAAUCCUAUAAUCCCGGGAGGACCACCAGUGGCGAAGGCUGUCGGCUAGAACGCGCCCGACGGUGAGGGAUGGGAAGCUGGGGGGAGCGAACCGGAUUAGAUA
rnacentral:rRNA from 1 species